rnacentral:rRNA from 1 species
UACGAGGGGGGCGAGCGUUGUUCGGAAUUAUUGGGCGUAAAGGGUGCGUAGGCGGUUUGGUAAGUCUUGUGUGAAAUCUCCAGGCUCAACUUGGAGUCUGCACGAGAAACUGCCGGGCUUGAGUGUGGGAGAGGUGAGUGGAAUUCCUGGUGUAGCGGUGAAAUGCGUAGAGAUCGGGAGGAACACCUGUGGCGAAGGCGGCGCACUGGACCCUUACUGACGCUGAGGCGCGAAAGCCAGGGGAGCAAACGGG